AUUGAACGCUGGCGGCAUGCUUUACACAUGCAAGUCGAACGGUAACAGGCCGCAAGGUGCUGACGAGUGGCGAACGGGUGAGUAAUGCAUCGGAGCGUGCACAGUCGUGGGGGAUAACUACUCGAAAGAGUAGCUAAUACCGCAUACGAUCUAUGGAUGAAAGCGGGGGACCGUAAGGCCUCGCGCGAUUGGAGCGGCCGAUGUCAGAUUAGGUAGUUGGUGGGGUAAAGGCUCACCAAGCCAACGAUCUGUAGCUGGUCUGAGAGGACGACCAGCCACACUGGGACUGAGACACGGCCCAGACUCCUACGGGAGGCAGCAGUGGGGAAUUUUGGACAAUGGGCGCAAGCCUGAUCCAGCAAUGCCGCGUGCAGGAAGAAGGCCUUCGGGUUGUAAACUGCUUUUGUACGGAACGAAACGGCUCUGGUUAAUACCCGGGGCUAAUGACGGUACCGUAAGAAUAAGCACCGGCUAACUACGUG
rnacentral:rRNA from 1 species